GGGAGCAUAGUCUUGUACUUGAUGGCGACCGGCGCACGGGUGCGUAACGCGUAUGAAACCUAUCUAAUACAGGGGGAUAGCCCAGAGAAAUUUGGAUUAAUACCCCAUGGUACUGUUUUACUGCAUGGUAAAAUAGUUAAAGAUUUAUCGGUAUUAGAUGGUCAUGCGUUCUAUUAGUUAGUUGGUAAGGUAACGGCUUACCAAGGCAGCGAUAGAUAGGGGCCCUGAGGGGGGGAUCCCCCACACUGGUACUGAGACACGGACCAGACUCCUACGGGAGGCAGCAGUGAGGAAUAUUGGACAAUGGAGGCAACUCUGAUCCAACCAUGCCGCGUGAAGGAAGACUGCCCUAUGGGUUGUAAACUUCUUUUAUAGAGGAAGAAACGCAGAUACGUGUAUCUGUUUGACGGUACUCUACGAAUAAGGAUCGGCUAACUCCGUGCCAGCAGCCGCGGUAAUACGGAGGAUCCAAGCGUUAUCCGGAAUCAUUGGGUUUAAAGGGUCCGCAGGCUGUUGUUUAAGUCAGAGGUGAAAGUUUGCAGCUCAACUGUAAAAUUGCCUUUGAUACUGGAUAACUUGAGUUAUAAUGAAGUGGUUAGAAUAUGUAGUGUAGCGGUGAAAUGCAUAGAUAUUACAUAGAAUACCGAUUG
rnacentral:rRNA from 1 species